UGGGAGGAACCAACUAUACCUGGCAU
rnacentral:piRNA from 1 species